UACAGAGGUCUCAAGCGUUGUUCGGAUUCAUUGGGCGUAAAGGGUGCGUAGGCGGUCGGAUAAGUCUGAUGUGAAAUCUUCGAGCUCAACUCGGAAACUGCAUCGGAAACUAUUCGGCUGGAGGAUUGGAGGGGAGACUGGAAUUCUCGGUGUAGCAGUGAAAUGCGUAGAUAUCUGGAGGAACACCGGUGGCGAAGGCGACAUCCUGGACCGGUAUUGACGCUGAGGCGCGAAAGCCAGGGGAGCAAACGGG
rnacentral:rRNA from 1 species